UCUUUUAUAGUACAGCAACAGGACAUCCAUUGCAUUCCACAGUAGUAGAUACCGUAUUGUAGUAUUACGACACAGGUGCUACAGACUUUGUCCUGGGGCAAAACAGAAGCUAAAGGUCCUUAUGACAAGAUAAAAUAUUAGGUAUGGAAUGCUAGAAAGCAGAGCACUGAAGUUCCUUCUGAAUUCCUUGACUAUAGGGGAAGAAGGAAGAACUCAAACUAGCCUUCCUGGACAUCGCAGGGUUAAGGAAAUCUGCAAUUCAAACAAAGUACAUCUACCACGUUUUCCAGUCCUGUCUGUCUAAUAAAUCUCGUUUCAUGCCAUGUCUUUCACAAGUUUAAUGAAUAACUAGUUUGCCUCUGGUAAUGUUACAGUUUUUACUGUAGUCUGUAGGAAGAGUACCAAGUUCCUCCUUGUUCUGUGUUUCCUCUCAUCAAAAGUAUAUUCAAUCCUUCAGAUAAUGAAGAAUCAAUCUUCCUACUCCUUUGAUGCUAUUUCCAACAGAAAAGGGAUACAGAUGCCUUCUUUGCAGUCCUUUCCAUUCUUUGGUUUCAGACAUACCAGCAGAGGAAGAAGGCCAUACAACAGGCUCUCCUGGUUUUACUCUGUGAUUAUAUGACAACUGCAGCAUUAAGGAAAAGUAAGUGUUUGAGUGUUUGCCAGUGCUUUCAACAUGCAUGUGUCUUUACUAAUACUAGCAUUGCUAGAAAGCAAAUAAUAUUAUUGGGAAUCUGUAAGAUACAUAAUUUGAUGCUGUUGUUCCCAUUCUGCUGUGAGCCUGUCCUCAAGUCAUUGAGCCUGUUCUCAAGUCAUGUACCAGAAAUAGGCAUGAAAGUCACACAGGCAAUCCCACAACAGCUUCUCAUGGUAUAGAAUCAUAGACACUUGAGUUAGACUUGCCAGAUGACUCUCAUGCAAAUGUAGCACCAUCUUACUGAUCUUUGUUUUUGCCAUUCAUCUGUUCUUUUAAGAAAAUGCACAGAAGUGAAGCUUAUCUUCUAGGAGCUGUUCAUUACUUCAGGUCUCCUUACAAACUUCCCACCUCUAACUUUCAUUAUGAACUCUCAUAUUAGUUUUUCCAAUUUUAUGACCUUUAUCCACCUACUGACCUCUCUUCUUCAUAUUCUGCAAUUCACAAUAAUUAACAGCUUUCAUAAAUAAGACUGUAGGACAAGUCACUCAUUCUGACCCUGAAGUUACACAGCUACACUAAAUUCCAUCUGACUAUUGCUUCGAUACCAAUGCCAUUGUUAUACCAUUUAAGGCUAUGACAAUUUGCAUCUGCACAGCUGUAUGUACUACAAACAAGCACUGGAGAUGAUACACUUCAUGUGACCUUGCAAAGCAGUACCAGGCACUGAGUGGAGGAUUUUUAUUGAAAUGAACCUUGAGACAUCUGCAGUAGCUCAGAUAGAUCCAGCACUACUUAAGGAAGCAGGCUGAUAUGUGCUCUUGCUCUUCAACUAUUCCAACAGUUUUCAGCCUGUUGGUCACCUGUAGCUGAGCUUGACAGAGGCCAGAGACGAUAAAGAUUAAGUACUGUGGAUGAUGAGAGAAAAGGGAUAUUCUCAGUUCUUUCCCAUCAUCAUACAACGGGGCACAAUCUUCAUUAGGUGUGGGAAAGAACUAGUGUAAGUAAGUUCACAUCGCUCUGAAGUCAGCCUAAGCUUUAAAUAAAAAGCUCUAAGUAGUCCAAGUUUUUGCAACUUUUGAAAGUUUGCUUUUUCACACCAGAAAUGCUAAUAUGUCACAACUCAUUCCCCAAUACCAAUGGAUAGGUACCAAAUUUUAACACAAAGUGCCAGGAUAUCCUCUUAGCUAUGCUGUAUGUUUUAGUUUGAGAACAUUGAAAGUUUUGGACCAAUUUACUGUUGCAGUUAAGGAGGACUGUAGUUUAUAAUCUCGCAUGAGAGAUUUCAAAGCAGCAACUUCUAACCAGCAGCAGCAUGGUCUGCAAGCAGCACUGCACAUGGGCUGCGUUUAUCACAGGUAACAACAAUGAACUAGUGUGGUAGGGUUUAAUAUUAAAUUCAACACAUGAUUAACUUCUAUCCAACAGUAAAUUUGUGUAAUAGUUAAGCCAAAACACCGUGUCUGUUUAUCAUUAAUGCUGAUAACCACUUCCUCAUUCUGUGAAGGAGAAACCCUGGGGAGGCUGACAGGUGGAACUUAAAGUAUUGCAGGCUGAAGCCCCACAGCUGGUGAUAUUCAUUGAGAUAUGCCUAAGCUUGGAUGAAGUCAUCCUGAUGAAUGCAGUAAUAUAUAAUGCUUAUGUGUGAAGCUAAAUGGAGUUGGAGGAAGUCAAGAUACAGCAUUUACAAUUGAAAAAAAAAGAACAAAGAAAGAGCACAAAGUUAUGUGACCACAGGGUACAUGGAUUCACCCCUUAGAGUACAACAGGACAAAGAGGGUCCCAGCUACUCUCAUGUCUCCUCAGUAUACGAUCCAGCCUCCAGCUUGCUGGGAAGGUCUGUUAGCUCCUUCAGCGGACGGGUUAUCCACAUUGUUGCAGAUUAACCAGACAGGUGGCUGAGCGCUACAUACAUUCAUUCAUUCACUCCCCGUGAGAUAGGGGAGAGAAAUGAGAAAAACAAAGAACUCAUGGGUUGAGAUAAAGCUGUUUACUAGGAUAGAGAAGAGGAUAAUAAUUAUAGAAUACAUAUAUGUAUAGAUGUAUAUAACAAGUGAUGCACAAGCAAUCGCUCACCACCACUCAACUAAUGCCCAGCUGCCUCUGAGCAACAGAAAACCACCCACCCCCUUCAAAACUCCUUCUGCUUGAUGUUAUAUGGCAUGGAAUAUCCCUUUGGCCAGUUUAAGUCAGUUGUUCUAAUUCUGUUCCCUCCCAGCUCCUUGGGCUCUUCUCUGUGAAUGGCUUUGGCUCUGUACAAUACUGCUUAGCAGCAACUACGUACAUCUGACUGUUAUCAAGGUUGUUUUUCUCUUAGAAUCAAAACAUAGCAGACACUCUGAAGAAAACAGUUCGGUCCCACCUGAAACAAAGACACAAAUGCACUACUUCCAGUUGUCCAGGAGGAGCCAACAGACUGCCACGAAGAGGGCAGUGGUACUGCUGUAGAUGUACAGCAGUGCAUAAACACGACUUCUCUCUCUGAAGUCAGCACAUGGUGAAAAAGCAGUGCGAACACUUUGGUACAGCAUUCAACUGGAGAUAAUAAUUCUGCCCAGUCCAACCAGCUCCAGUAUCUGCAUGCCAUAAUCUCAGAGCAACAGAAAACUCUAGUGGAGAGAUAUAAAGAACAGCACUCCCAUUGAUGCAGCAGUGUGGAUGGAAGAACAAUGGCUGAGACCCAGAUAGGCCUUCAGCAAGGGCAACAGAAUCUCUCAUUGAUUUGUUAGCACAUUUUGGUAGGCACCAGAUCUAGGCACAUGCAGGAGAUGGAGCUGUUUGGAACCACAGAGGUGGAGUUUUAAAGGAGCAGCAGUGCCCAUAUCUAUGAGAAGCUAGUAAUAGCAAGAGGAAGAUAUUUUCAUCUUUUAUUUCAAUGCAUCAAGUAUAACAAAGUUAGCACACAACUCAGUAUAACAUUUUUAGGAGAUGUGUGUUAAAAGAGGGUGCAGGGAAAAUGUUAUGUCACAGCCUGAACUGAUGAUUGAGCACCUGGUGAAGGGGUGGCUGGCCCAGGAAGCACAGGUGCAAGCAAUUCACCUGUGCUUCCCACAUGACUGGAAGGGGUGGGCCCAGGGUCUCCCUGGGCUCAUUUUAAGGAUGAGCCUCUGAAAAAGGGAAUGUCUCUUGGAUGAAGGUUGCUUCCUGAUGAGGAGUGUGUUAGAGCCUCUAUCACCAGUCAGGUAAGUCAACUUUUUCUAUGUGAUUACUGAUAUUCCUAAUGAUGUUUAAGCCUGGCAUCACAAAGAACUUAUCAGAAAUAAUUACACUGCUUCCAAGGACUGAUUGAAGUGAAGGAAAAAAAACCGUAGUGGUUGUGGUACUGCUGUCCUAGACUAUGUUCUAUUGCCAUAACCCUCUGGCAGUAAGAAACAUCAGGCAUGAGAUAUUGACCCUGCAUUAUGCUGGUGCUGAUACUUAUACCAGAAAUCAUAGUAUUCUGCUUUUUAGUAGCUUAGCUUGUGAAUAUACUUUCAAAGAGCACAGCCCAUCUAAAGUGGCACUGAAUUCAAAACAUUUGUGUACCAGGGCACUAGUAGAACACAUGCAGAGGAUGGCAUAACCAAAUUCUGCUUUCUGUCCCCUUCAGUGUGUAAACUGAUAAGAAAUCUUUCUGACUCAGCUCAUUACUAACAAUUUUUAUGUUUCCAUUAUGGAAGGGAACCUUAACCUACCACCCAUGAAUUCCUAGGUGGCUUUGUGCUGCUAGGUUCAAGGUUGCUGGGUCACCCAGCAGUGUUAACCAGAUGCAAAGCGCUGCGUGGUGCUAAUGGCUGAAACAGUGUCUGCAUUACUACUACAGCAGCUAUGAUGUUUGUGCUUGUUUAGUAGUUGACUGGAAGUUAGAGGAUAUAGGAUGGAUAAGAGAGUGCUCUCAGCUUCCUUGCACAAACUCAUGCAACACAGACUAUACUGAAACCUUCAGCUGCACUUAAUACAUCAUCAGCAGAGGAGCAGGAGGACCUACAACACUGAUUUUUUUUUUCUACCCAUGUGAUUUAUAUUACAUAUGAUCCCCAAAGGCAAUUGGCAUGAGCACUGAGACAGCAGCUUCUGUGAAUGCACUGUUUAGAGAACCUGCACAUCAGUGACAGUGCUGUGCCCACAUACUGCAGUAUAAAGGGGAAACAGGCUCCUUGUUUCUUUGCCAGAAGCAUAUACAAUUCAGAGCUUUGAUAUACUGAGAUAUGUAUCUUUCGUGUUUUAGUAGGUACAGUUCAUCAGACUUAUCCUAAGUAUGCAGUUUAAAUAGGCAGUGUGAGAGUCAGCUGUAAGAAAUACUAAUCUCCAAAUGAGCAACUUUCCUCUUGGCUGACAACUAAUACAUUUCUAAAUUGGCUAAAUGCAAAAAGAAAAUGGAUUCAGGCACUUUCAUUUUGAGUUUUCUCACUCCACUGCUGAUAAAUUAACAUCUCAGUCUUCCUACAGAAUAAAGUACAUAUGAAACACCUGUGCCAUUUCCCUACCAAAUAACUUGAUGAGGAGCCAAGUAAUAUAACCAUGCUUGAAUGGUAGAUCUAAUUUUGUUUUUCCUGUCCUACCAUGAGUAACACUGAUUCAGCCUUUAUCCUUGGCAGAAAACAAAUGCUUCUGUAAGGAUCCUGAAAUGAGACGUUCUUCUGACCAACCUGAAGUAAUUUUAUGGAGUUUGUGCUGUGGGUUGAAUCAGAACAAGAUCUCAUUCUUUCCGUUCCAUGAUAUAUUACUCAUUGCUUGUAUCUGGAAGACUGUUUGCAGAUGAAGUGACUGCUCACUGUAUGCUUAUGGUGUUGCUCAGAUGUUGGUAAGAAAUUCUGAUUAUAUUUUUUUCCUCUGAAGUUGAGGGAAAACCCACAAAACUCAGUGCUUCAACAGCAUGAUGAUCUUGCAUAGGUACUGUAUGUGCUUUAACUUAGCAGAUUCUUCCUUACAGUGAAGUAAACAUCUUAAUUCUAGUAAAAAUCAGUAUCCCUUCUACUUCCUACCCAGCCUCUACCCCUAAUAGCAGUUGUGCAACUCUACAGCAAGGCUAGGCAGAUGCAAGACUUCCUUCCAUCAGGUUAGUUUUCAGCCAGUUAUUUCCCAAACACAGUUUACCACGGCACUACACAAACAUCAGUUCUGGUACAUGACAGCAACAGGCUUUUCACAAACAGGAAGGUGAGAGGGAAGCAAUGAAAUAAUUCAGUUUAAUAAACUGAAAUAAUGCAGGUAAAGUUAACAGGAGCUUAAGGCCAAGACUGAAGUAUCAUCUUAAGAUGCUAAGGAACUCUCUUCUAAGAAGCAGCUGGUACCUAUGCAGUACAAGCUAGGGUUUUAGAAGCAGAUACUACAAAGAGGAAAAAGUACUGCCUCUCCCUGGUACAAAAUGUCUAUUUGCUAGCAUAAUUGUAACAGUUAGAUGAGCCUACAAGGGAUGUAGUUUCUACUGCAUCAGUCCUGCUGUAAGUUAGCUUCUAGCCAGUCCAGUUGCAGUACACAGCUGAGCUGCUUGAUGGAUAACCAUCUACCUCAGAGAUAAAUCCUGGGUUAUAUCUGCUGGGGCUGCUGUCUAGGAAUCAGUGUAACUGCUGCAACCAGAAAGCUUGAAAGACUGGAACUUGAAACUCACGUCUCAGACUCACCAGGGCUGCUAACAGUCAAACCAGGACAUGAAACUCAGCUACUCUAUAGAAACAUGCUGGAACACCAGUAUAAGAAAAUACCACCUCUGCAAAAGGAAACUGCCUGAUGUGUUUGUCAGUUUCCCUGUACUUUUUUCCUAAUAUAUGUUUUUUUUAAUCUGCAUUUAAAUCAAGUAGCUAUACUUGAGUAAGAUCUGCAUUUCCAAAAGCUACUGCCUAAAACAGAAAACAAUCAAGCUUUGGUGCUUAACUACUAAAUCAUUAACCUACUGGGAGGAAAGUACUUCCUUUAUCAGCAAAGAAUGCUUCUGACCCUAAAGCAAUGCUAUAUACAGAAACAUAAAUUACAUGGGCAUUUCUAGGUACACACUCAUGUGCAUUUAAGAUUCAAGAGGAGCACUCCACCCAAUAGACACCAGACCUUUGGUAAGGACACUAGGGUACUGGGGGAUUCUGACCUUCAGCUUCAAGCAAUAUAGUUGCAGUGAUUUAUACUAGUAGCAUAUGGGAUAGCAUGAUAACUUUAAUGACUUUUGGCAACACUUCAGUAGUCAGGACCCUUCUGCCCAGUCAGAUGCAGACUGUUGUGCCCAGCUUUCCUGGAUCUCCAUUUCCAUUGCCACAGCAGCACUGGAGAAGUGGGAGCACGUACUCCUGCUCAAAGCUCACCCAGAGUUCCCAUAAUCAAAAGGAUCAGCAGCACAACAGCCAGAGGCUUUAUUUUAUAUAACAACAUAAUUUGCCUCUCUAUCAUUGCUACAGAGGAAAAAAUAAUUAUUAUUUUCCCAUAUUUAAUUUAACACAGAGCAGGAUAUUCUGCCAUCAUAACUAUGCCGGAAAUGUUUUUGUAAUUUAGAGUAAUCCUUGGAUUAAUCCAUGGGAGAGCGGAGGAGUGGAGGAACUGCACCUGAUUACCACAGGCUCAGCCUCUUCCUUCAUAGAAAGGAAACUUAAAAACUUUGUCCUAAUGAUUAGGUGGGGGAAAAAAAAAAA